AGAGUUUGAUCCUGGCUCAGAUUGAACGCUGGCGGCAGGCCUAACACAUGCAAGUCGAGCGGAUGAGUGGAGCUUGCUCCAUGAUUCAGCGGCGGACGGGUGAGUAAUGCCUAGGAAUCUGCCUGGUAGUGGGGGACAACGUUUCGAAAGGAACGCCAAUACCGCAUACGUCCUACGGGAGAAAGCAGGGGACCUUCGGGCCUUGCGCUAUCAGAUGAGCCUAGGUCGGAUUAGCUAGUUGGUGAGGUAAAGGCUCACCAAGGCGACGAUCCGUAACUGGUCUGAGAGGAUGAUCAGUCACACUGGAACUGAGACACGGUCCAGACUCCUACGGGAGGCAGCAGUGGGGAAUAUUGGACAAUGGGCGAAAGCCUGAUCCAGCCAUGCCGCGUGUGUGAAGAAGGUCUUCGGAUUGUAAAGCACUUUAAGUUGGGAGGAAGGGCAGUAAGUUAAUACCUUGCUGUUUUGACGUUACCGGCAGAAUAAGCACCGGCUAACUUCGUGCCAGCAGCCGCGGUAAUACGAAGGGUGCAAGCGUUAAUCGGAAUUACUGGGCGUAAAGCGCGCGUAGGUGGUUCGUUAAGUUGGAUGUGAAAGCCCCGGGCUCAACCUGGGAACUGCAUCCAAAACUGGCGAGCUAGAGUAUGGCAGAGGGUGGUGGAAUUUCCUGUGUAGCGGUGAAAUGCGUAGAUAUAGGAAGGAACA
rnacentral:rRNA from 1 species